AAGUAUAUUCACGUCUGGAGAUAGUCAAACCUUUAUUAACUCCACGUUUUCUACAACGGUCUCAAUUUCAUCAUCUCAAUCAAGAAUGGUUUGAAUUCGUUUGCGUGAAAUCCGAACAUCAAAAGUCUUUGAAAAAAAAAAGGAGAGGGAGAGAGAGCUUUUUAAAGACCUGUCAACUCUUUAUAGAACCUAGAGAUAGAAGAAACAAGAGAGAAGAAGAAAAAAUAAAUAAAGAGAGACAGAAAGUUUUUCAUUUUCAACGGAUUUCAGGAUUAAAUUGUUUCAUAAUUUGAUUAUUCCAGAUUAAAUUCUUAAAAAAUAAGCAUAAAAGUUGUAGAAGAAUCAGUUCAUAUUGCCUACCCAGAGAGAACUCAAACAGAGAAGAAAAAAGAAUUUACUCAUCAAAGGUAUUGAAAAAAGCCCUUACAAUUCCGCCCUAGUUUUUGAUAAUUUUGGGGAAUCUUCGAAAAAUGGCGAUAUCGUUUACUAAAUUUUCAUGGUGGUAUUGGGGAGGAAAAGAUCGAGAAACUACUGGAUCAUCCGCAUCAUCUUUGCAAAAUUCAGAUUUUGGAUUGGGUUUGAGAGAAUCAGAUAGUGUUAAAUUUACAUCAGUUGGGGCGAAAAUGCCAUCAUCAUCUAGAAGGACUAAGAGAAAAUGGAGUAGUAGACAGGAAAGAAGAGUUGAUAGAGAAUAUGAUGUUGUUUUAGUACCAUCUGAUGGUGGGUGUUUAUCUGGUUCUGAGUCAGAUGAUUCAGAUUGGUCUAUUGGGUGGAUGGAACCACAUGCUCCUGAAUUUCAUAGUGGUGAUGAAGGUGAGAGUAGUUUUGCUGUCUUGGUUCCUUGUUAUGGACGCGGUCAAAACGAAGUUGGAGAGAAUUCUAAGAAUCAGACUGCUUUGGGUGCCAUUGGUGAGCUCAAAAAUGGGUAUUCUGCUGUUUGAUGUAGAAAACAAUAGCUAUUUGAGAUUUGGGUUGGCAAAUGAGUUUGGAAUUAUGUAUUGUUACCUUUGGGGGAUCAUUUGGUGUAGCAAUUUCAUACCAGUAUGAAAUUUUUUGCCGCAACCCGAAUUUACAAGAGAACAGUAAGUUGGUGGAGCAGUGGCUCACAUCUCUUCAGAGCAGCUGAUAUGUUAGAUUUGUCGAUUGUUUUCAAUUAUCCUUGUACUUCCUAGUGAAAGCUAAAACCCAAAAAAAAGAAGAAAAACCCAGAAAAGGAAAAAAGAAAAAAAAUUUAAAAGGAAAAAUCAAACUGAAAAAAAAACCCAAGUAUUUUGAAGGAGGAGAUCGCCAAUUUUCAAUUCGCGCUGCAGGUAGAAGGCGAGGUCCGCGAGGAUCAACAUUUUGCGUAGUAUAAGAUAAAAAUAACUCAGUUUCAAGAUAUAGCUUCUCAUUGCUUCAGGUCUUUUAGAUUUCGAAUAACAGUCUUAAGACAGUAUAACUCAUUUGAACUAUUUGAUUGAUUUCUGCCAAUGUUGCUGCUUGUUCUCCUUCUUCUCUACCUUCAAGAGAUCCGGCGAGCAAUAGAGAGAACGAAGGAGAAAGAAAGGUAUAUUCCAUGCAAAGUUAUUGCUUGUAAAUAAAAAUUUAGCUUCUCUGUACAUUUUAGGAGCAUAUUCUUGCUGCCUUGAACUUGCUAUCACUACUAGUUUACUACUACUUGCUGUAAAUAAAUAACUUCUGUUAUCAACAGACAGAUUGUAGUAUGGAUCGCUGGUUGGUUUGGGCAUGUUCAAUUUCUGCCCAUCUUUUGCUGUAAAUAAACCUGUUUUCUGUGAAUAAAUUCUAUCAAGGAGUUUUUUAUCUAGUUA